UGUUGUUGAGUUAGCCCAAGGCUUCAUUUUGACAAGUUGGCUAUUGUGCAGAAAAGGAAAGAGGAUAUAAUUCUAGCCUAUUCAUUAAAGCCUCAGUCCAGCAAGCAUCAACACACAAAGGGCAAGACUGAAGCUUAUUCAGACUUGGAAAACUCAGGGAGGAAAAAAUCUGCAUCCACCUGCAAUCAAGGUAGUGAAGACCGAAUAAGGAUCCAGUAUACCAACAAGGCCCCGUGAUUUCACAGCCCAGAAGCAGGAGGGAGCUUAGUUACAAGCAUACAGAAACUUCUUCAGUGCUAAGGUGCUACACUGAAACUAAGCGCUUUGGAACAGCUCACAGAUCCAAGUUGUGCCUGACAUUCUUUCUUACCAUUUCCAUUUAGCUUAGCCCCUGUAAGCCGCUGUAUGAAUUUCAAGAAAUGUUUAGAUGUUGUUCUGAGAGACGUGGGUUAGUGGGGAAGUACUGAUGGUAGGUGGGUGGUUGGACUGGAUGAUCUUGGAGGUCUUUUCCAACCUUGGUGAUUCCAUGAUUCUACGAUCCUAUGAUUCUAUGAUUAAUCUUGCUGCUGUACAGAUCCACUCUCAGGUCACCUUCUACUGACUUAGUUGUCAGGACCACAGCCCUGUUUAAUGGCAUGUAGUCCAUUUGCAGCAUAUGUAAGAAAAGAAGAGUUGUGAGGGAGAAAUAUUUGACUAUCAUCAAUUGGGAGUCUCAGACAUCUGUUAUACUUUUUAAAUAUUUGUCAGAACAGAAACUGACUUGCUGACUCAGUGAGCUGCUAAUUAAUCAUAUAAAAUGCCACAGGAAAGACUGGAGGAGGGCAAUGUGUCUCUAGCAUAAUGUGGUGGCUUCACACCGAUGGGCAGCUGAAUUUAAAUGGACAAAACAGACUCAGCUUGAGGGAGAUUAAUGUAAUUUAUUGCCCAUCUGUAACAGGUAUGAGUAGUGAGAACUAAAAGCAAACUUGAAACACAUUGAUCCUAUCCCCCUCUCCUGCCUCCUGCCCCAGAGCAGCAGAGGGGAAUGGAAGAUGAAAGCUGUGGUCAGUCCCUGCCACUCCCUCCUCCUCACUCCCUUCCCAUGCUGCUGCUGUGUCCCUCCCAUGGAUGCCAUCCUUCCCAGACUCAGCAGGGUGGGCUUCCCGCAGGCUGCAGCUCUCCAAGCACUGUUCCACUGUGGGUUCUUCUUGGAGCUGGGUGGAGCUGGCUGUCCUCUAACGUAGGGCAGCUGCUGGACUCUGCUCACAGGGACUCUAUUUUACCCAAUAAUUCAGUGCUGAACUCAGAAUGCCACCUUGUCUAAACUGAGUAUUUAUCUAGUCCCAAACUUCAGUUUGGAGGAACUGUCAUUUUUAGAUGAAGUGUUUCAAACCAGCUAUGAUGCUUAGAUGAUUUACUAGUUCUAAAAUGUUUGCUCUUGCUUGGGUGUGCGAGGCUAUGACUUUGAUUCCAGGUAGUUAUGUUAUUCCUUGGUUGGCAUAAUUAAUUACAAACAUUUGCAAAUCCUAUAGGUAUGUAGCUAAAAAGAUCACCUAAACCAUCCUCCACUUCCAAGGCAGUACUAAAUAUUCUUAGAUCUCUCUGAUGCGUGUUUCUUUUACGUGCGCCUAAAAAUUUCAAUAGAGGGAUUCCCCGUUUCCAUAUGAAACUCAUUCCAGUCUUCCACUGUGAACAUUUUUUCAUACCUACCAUAAAGACGCUCAGUGUCAGCCCUGGUCUCCUCCCUUUGAUGUCCAGUUCUAAAGAUUUUAGGUGAGAGCAGAGCUUGGCAUUAGUAAAUGGGCCUCAGGCUAUUUGCUGUCAGAAGAUCUGUAGAGAUGCGGAGAAGCACUUGGUUGGCUGUUCUGGAGAUCAGAGUUCUUGAUGCAGCUUUGCAAGUUGGCUUUUCUUCACCCUGCUGGUGGAUACACACAAAUUUUAAGUUCUUUACUAAUUUUUACUUCUUUACUGUUUACUUUAAGUUCUUUACAGAGAGAGUGGUGAGGUGCUGGAACAGCUGCCCAGAGAGGCUGUGGAUGCCCCGUCCAUCCCUGGAGGUGUCCAAGGCCAGACUUCAGAACCAAGCACCUCAGUGAACACCUUUGCUAUUUUUUACUUGUUACAUUUCCUCCUCUCCAGCGGUGAUGAUUUUCUACGCUGACCACUCUGCAGUCAGACCUUCUGACAGAGGAAAAGUUGAAGGAAAUCUAAUGAACAUAUGGAGAAACAGGAUCUCUCCAUGCUAUCUGGAACAAGUGGGGCCGGGGUCCUUCAGAUAACAAGAGGGAAUGCAGUCUGUAUGGAUAUCGCAGGGCACCCUGGAGAUCAUGAUCAAGAGAAACCCAAUUGCAAAAACUCAGCUCGGGUCCAGCAGGUCUUAUUAACUCUGGUUCAGUGCCAACACUACGAGACUGCCAGCUGGCCCCUCAGCUAUUUGACUGUCUUUGCAGCACACUUUCCCAGUGCUCCAGGUUCUGAAAGGGCCUUGUAUGUACCGACGGAGCCAGCGCAGGUCUGGCACUGCAUCCUGUCUAAUGUGCCCUUUUAGGAGCUGGAGCACAAAUCAGCGAUAACGGGCCCUUGGAACAUUGCUGUAUGUGGACUGACUUCUUCCAGACUCACUUGGAUGUCUCUGCGCUGCUCUUCCCAGAACUCCCAGUCCCAGAAACGCAGCGAGGGGCCGUCUGACUCGGCAUGGGGAAGCCCAGGUUCGGCUGGUUAUCAGCUCAGGCUCUGUGCUGAAGGAAAGCAGCAUUUCUGGGAUUGAACUGGUGAUUUAUGAUGGAUCUGUCAAAUUCUGCUUUCACAGAAUCUUUCUCCCUUGCAUAUAUCUGGAGAUUUUAAGACUAAGUCCACCUUUAAGGCAACAUCACCUGCUGAAAAAGGAAUUUUAAUGGAAGUUAAUUCUAUUAUUAACAACAUAAAGAUGCUUAGUCCUCUCCAUAAGACUGAAUACUCAGUUCAGAGUGUCACUAUAAACACAUUGGCCACCGCUGCUUCCCAGGCUAAACAUUAUUUUUAAAAUGCAAAAAGCGAAUUUUCAGUGGAAUUACAGUCCUGCCAACGCCCGAUGGAUCCUGCAAGGUUUGACAAGGAGAGAAAUCCAUUCCCUGACCUGGAAUUCCUUGGCCAGGGGUGCAAAGUGGUCCCUGCUCUGUUCUGCAGGAGGAAACUCCCCCUGUUCUGCACCAGCUCUGCGAGAGGACACGCAGAUGUGACACACAGCAGGCUCCUCGCUGCUGCCCUGCCUGCGCUUGGUGAAACCUUGUGAGCAAAGUCUGAACUCCAUGACUGAGCCGUCCAGGGGAAGUCAAAGUCAGACCUGAUAUCUUUUUCCAAACUUAUAUAUCCUGGUGGCUGCUGCUACUGUUAAAUAUGAUAAACUCCUAUUUGUUCACUUUAGCUUGCUGUCAGCAGUCGCUGUUUGCUGGGGCAAGCCCAGAACGUUUCCCUCCCCACCUGUCAAGCUUGGAGUGUGCUUUGGCACCCUGCCAUUGCAGAGCCUCAACGACUUGAGCAGACAGCUUCAGGAACAAGACAUCCCAGUACUUAAGCCGCCUCUGCUUCAUGAGCUUUUCUUCCCAUCUGUACGCUUUCUGAAGAAGAAAAUGUUUGCUGGUCAGAGAGGUUUUCCACAUGCGCCUCCUUCGGCUUUCCAUUACCGCUCGGAGGUUAUAUGGGGUGCAGCGCCGUACACUGUACUGCACUAUAUGCAGAGGUGUUCAGACUUAAUUUAUUCCCUUCUCCUGGAUAAAGAUUAUUGCAGCUGUGUGUUUUGGAAAACUAUCAAUGAAGGGAGUUCAGCUCAUACAACACACUUUCAAUAGGGUACUGUACUCUAUAUUUCCAGGUUCUGUUUUAAUUACACUUGCAUAUUACCUUGGAGGAAGCUGAAAUCUGGAAAAUGUUUUCUCAUAUACCAUGUCUUAAACCUUCCUGACCUUCUGUUUUAUACCAAGUACAUUUAUGCUGGUGAUCAAAACCAUAUAAUAUGGGGAAAGGCUUGGCUAUCCGGGGUAAUCUAUCAGGAGCGUGCUGUCAGUCCCCCCUAGCAAAGACUGAACAAUUUUCACUGAGAAGCACCCCCACCGUCCAGCAGUAAGUCCCUCUUCCCCCCUUCACGCAGCUCCCAGUGAGAGCUACAGGAGCGGGCCAGGUUGGGAGCAGGGCAGCAAGCAGCUUUCCCCUGGGGUGGCUGGGACUCCUGCUGCUCUGAAGCAUCCUGGAGGGACUAAGCAACGGGAUGGCUCACAUAGCAUCCGUUUAUUGCCCAUAUUGCAAUAAGAAUGUCAGUGCCACCCGCCUCCGCUGGGCCGGGCAGUGAGCAGUGACCAUAUUGCCAGCUGCAGCACCAAACACAGCCUGAUGCCCAGCACUGAGGUCUCCUUGUGUCAGCCAGCAUUCCCCAGGGAGAGCAGGGUGCCUGUGAGCCCUGCUGAGUGGAUAACAACACCUGUACCGAUCACAUCUCUGUGCCAGAGCAGCUUUCAUGUCACCUUCAGAUCCAUGCCAACAGGAGCGCGUCUUGAUCUUCACAUCUCUACGUGUCUGGAGAGUGUCCUGAGAAAAAGGGAUUUAGCAAAUGCGUGUUUGCAGGAGGGGAUCCGUCAGUCCUCUGCCCAGGGCUUGGUCAGCAUUUGGGAAGUGCAGACUGCUGCCUAUAAUCCCUUGCUGAGGAGCUCUCUCCCUGGCAGCCCGGGAAGGUGUCGAGAAAUGCUGCCAGGCACUGGUCUGCUCCUGGGGCUGCUGCUGACACAGCUCGUGAGCCGGUGCCUUGCCUCAGCGCCUC